CCUACGGGGGGCAGCAGUGGGGAAUAUUGCACAAUGGACGCAACCCUGAUGCAGCGAUGCCGCGUGCAUGAAGACGUCUUUAGGUAUGUAAAGCUCUAUUUGUACGGGAGUAAAUGCCGAUACCUGUAUAAGAAGCCCCGGCUAACUACGUGCCAGCAGCCGCGGUAAUACGUCGGGGGCCAGCGUUAUCCGGAUUUACUGGGUGUAAAGGGAGCGUAGACGGCAGCAUAAGUCAGGAGUGAAAUGCCGGGGCUUAACCCCGGAACUGCCUCGGAUACUGUUCAACUAGAGAUCAGUCGAGGUAAGUGGAAUUCAUAGUGUAGCGGUGAAAUGCGUAGAGAUCAGGAGGAACACCGAUUGCGAAGGCGGCUUACUGAACUGUAACUGACGUUGAGGCACGAAAGCGUGGGGAGCAAACAGGAUUAGAUACCCCUGUAGUC
rnacentral:rRNA from 1 species